rnacentral:lncRNA from 10 species
CAGUGAGCUAUGACUGUGACACUGCAUUCCAGCCUGGGGGACUGAGUGAGAGCGUCUGUUAAAAACAAACAAACAAAAACCAGGUAUUGUUAUUGCAGUCCACCACGGAAGGUAUGAAUCAUCCCCAUUUUACAGAUGUAGAAACUGAGGCUCAGAAAGAUGAAUUCAUGUAUCUGGGAAAUGACUGCUCAGAGCCUGCCCUGCCUUUGUACAUCUGGAUGACAUAUUCAGAUGCUUAUGCAAAAUUGAAGCCACCGCAGCCAGGCG